CGGCGAUGGCAGUGUCCAUUUGGCUUGCGUUCGACAGGCGGCAGUGAUGAGUGGCCAUUGGCGUUUAUUGCACACUAUAUACGCAUCGCCUGUUCAACAUUAAAUGCCAAACAGCCACGAUGUUCGUAAAAAGAAGGAUUACUCCACAGAAGGCAUAUAAUCAAAACCAUUCAAUGUAAACGGCCGUUAUUCUGAAAUGAAGUAAUUGACUAUGACGGUAACAGAAAAAGACAUAUUAUUAUGUCAUAGAAAAAUCAAGAUAUAAACGUGGACAAAAAUGCAAACGAUCAUAAACAACUAUGCAGAUGGCUGGUUGGAGGACUCAUUAGCCAGACGCAUUAAACGGUCAAGAGGACGAUUUUGACAAUAAUACCGUAGCACAUCUGGAGACUACGCAUAAAGACCGAUGGAGUGAGUGGAACGCUGAGAAAAUCAGUAGUUUAUACACGAGA